GAUGAACGCUGGCGGCGUGCCUAAUACAUGCAAGUCGAGCGAACAGACGAGGAGCUUGCUCCUCUGACGUGAGCGGCGGAGGGGAGAGUAACACGUGGAUAACCUACUUAUAAGACGGGGAAAAUCUCGGGAAAACGGAGAUAAUACCGGAUAAUAUAUUGAACCGCAGGGUUCAAUAGUGAAAGACGGGUUUUCUGGCACUAAUAGAUGGAUCCUGGCCGCAUUAGCUAGUUGGUAAGGUAACGGCUUAUCAAGGCGACGAUGCGUAGCCGACCUGAGAGAGUGGUAGGCCACACUGGAGCUGAGCCACCGUCCAGACUCCUACGGGAGGCAGCAGUCGGGUAUCUUCCGCAGUGGGCGAAAGCCUGACAGAGCAACGCCGCGUGUGUUAUGACGGUCUUCGGAUCGUAAAACUCUGUUAUUAGGGAUGAACAACUGUGUCAGUAACUAUGCCCGUCUUGACGGUACCUAAUCAAAAAGCAACGGCUAACUACGUG
rnacentral:rRNA from 1 species